AGCAUGCGUUUUCCUCUCCAGGCGGGUGUUAACAGAGGUUAACAGGAAGAGGAGCUAUCACAGACAUUUGUCUCCUACAUUAAGCAGACAGACUAAAUUGACCCUAACUUUACAUCAGCGGGUAUUUGUGAAGCCGCGGGGCGUGAGGAUGCAGUUUGAGCGCAAUCAAGCGAGAUGUUAGGACCGACACACCAAACCAAGACCCGGUCCGUCUGUGGCCUACAAGAUCAUUUUCCCUGAACAUGGAUGAGCCAGUGCCUCACGCAGGAAAGGCACGGAUGCUGCUGGGCUGCGAGACAGACCUGCGCACCAGUCAGAUGAUUCACCAGGGACACUUGCUUAUCUACCGUUUGAAUGGUGACUGAAUCUUAAUGUUUGCACACCACGCACAUCUGUUGCUGUUCAUGAUGCUGAAUCAUGGUUGUAAUAUUAGACAAGGAUGAGUAAUGUACCUUUUAUUGUAAUGAAAACCAAAAGAGGUCACUGCUAGAUACAAUCGCCCUAAAUACAGAUGAGCAAAA